rnacentral:rRNA from 1 species
GGAUCAUUAAAGAGUUUAAUAAAACUCCUAAACCCCUGUGAACUCACUAUGUUGGAUUCUCGCCAGAGAUAGUCUGGUUUCUGCCACGCAGAUCGACUGCCUGCCCGUGACACCUGUCACAGGUAGGUAAGCUUUUGCCGCGGGUCCGCAUGUAAAUCGUCUGUUUCACAAGGGACGGCGAUUUACCUGUGGAAGAGGUCCGCUAACUAUAUUCUUAGUAUAGUUUGUUCACUAGAUCAAACAUUCUGAAUAAAAACUUAAACUAGUUAAAACUUUCAACAACGGAUCUCUUGGUUCUGGCAUCGAUGAAGAACGCAGCGAAAUGCGAUAAGUAAUGUGAAUUGCAGAAUUCAGUGAAUCAUCGAAUCUUUGAACGCACAUUGCGCCCAUUAGUAUUCUAGUGGGCAUGCCUGUUCGAGCGUCAUUUCAACCCUUAAGCCUCUGUUGCUUAGCGUUGGGAGCCUACAGCCUGCUGUAGCUCCUUAAAGGUAGUGGCGGAGUCGGUUCACACUCUAGACGUAGUAAAAUCUUUAUCUCGCCUAUAGAUGAGCCGGCGCCUUGCCGUAAAACCCCUAAUCUUUCACAAGGUUGACCUCGGAUCAGGUAGGAAUACCCGCUGAACUUAAGCAUAUCAAUAAGCGGAGGAAAAGAAACCAACAGGGAUUGCCCUAGUAACGGCGAGUGAAGCGGCAACAGCUCAAAUUUGAAAUCUGGCCUUCGGGUCCGAGUUGUAAUUUGCAGAGGAUGCUUUGGGCGCGGUGCCUUCCGAGUUCCCUGGAACGGGACGCCUUAGAGGGUGAGAGCCCCGUACGGUUGGACACCAAGCCUCUGUAAAGCUCCUUCGACGAGUCGAGUAGUUUGGGAAUGCUGCUCUAAAUGGGAGGUAAAUUUCUUCUAAAGCUAAAUAUUGGCCAGAGACCGAUAGCGCACAAGUAGAGUGAUCGAAAGAUGAAAAGCACUUUGAAAAGAGGGUUAAAUAGCACGUGAAAUUGUUGAAAGGGAAGCGUUUGCGACCAGACCUUUUCCCAGCGGAUCAUCCGGUGUUCUCACCGGUGCACUUCGCUGGGUUGAGGCCAGCAUCGGUUUCCGCAGGGGGAUAAAAGCCUGGGGAACGUAGCUCCCUCGGGAGUGUUAUAGCCCCUCGCAUAAUACCCUUGCGGGGACCGAGGACCGCGCU